rnacentral:rRNA from 1 species
GAUGAACGCUAGCGGGAGGCUUAAUACAUGCAAGUCGAGCGGCAAGGUCUUCGGACCCUAGAGCUGCGCACGGGUGAGUAACGCGUACGCAAUCUGCCCUUCCGUGAGGAAUAGCCCUGGGAAACUGGGAUUAAUACCUCAUAACAUUAAUAGAUAGCAUUGUUAAUUAAUUAAAGUUCUGGCGCUGAAGGAUGAGCGUGCGUCUAAUUAGCUAGUUGUUAGGGUAACGGCCUACCAAGGCUACGAUCAGUAGGGGGCGUGAGAGCGUGAACCCCCAAACGGGUAAUGAGACAAGGACCCGACUCCUACGGGAGGCAGCAGUAAGGAAUAUUGGGCAAUGGAGGCAACUCUGACCCAGCCAUCCCGCGUGAAGGAUUAAGGCCCUAUGGGUUGUAAACUUCUUUUGUUUGGGAAGAAAUCUGGACAUUUAUGUGCAGUUGACGGUACCUUACGAAUAAGCACCGGCUAACUCCGUGCCAGCAGCCGCCGUAACAC